rnacentral:misc_RNA from 1 species
GAAGCCCACAAAAAAUAGUGUAAUUUGUUCAGAUCAUAUCAAUACCGCUAACUUUUAAGUGUUGACGAACAAUAGAAGGAUUAGUCGAGGGCACCAAAUCAACACUAACGCCACACUGUUUUUGUCCCAGUCAUCAACAAAUCAUUAAAUCUAGCAGAUGACAAGCUAUCAUCUUAUGAUGCCAUUAGUGUUACGCUCCCUACUCCCGAUUC